CAGCCGGGGGUGGAUAGGCAUGCAGUCGAGCGUGAAGUCUUCGGACGAGUAAAGCGGCGAAAGGGUGAGUAAUACGUAGUCAAUCUACCCUCGAGACCGGGAUAACCACUGGAAACGGUGGCUAAUACCGGAUGGCCUCGGCGGGGGGCAUCCCCGGCCGAGUAAACGGAGGCGCAAGCUCCUGCUGGAGGAGGAGGCUACGGGCUAUCAGCUAGUUGGUGAGGUAACGGCUCACCAAGGCGAUGACGGCUAGCCGGUCUGAGAGGACGAUCGGCCACACUGGGACUGAGACACUGCCCAGACUCCUACGGGAGGCUGCAGUCGAGAAUCUUCCGCAAUGGGCGCAAGCCUGACGGAGCGACACCGCGUGCAGGAUGAAGGCCUUCGGGUUGUAAACUGCUGUCACGCUAUAGGAACGGCCUGGUGUGAACAAUGCCAGGCUUGACCAAAGCGAGAGGAAGCACCGGCUAACUCCGUGCCAGCAGCCGCGGUAAGACGGAGGGUGCAAACGUUGUUCGGAAUCACUGGGCAUAAAGAGCACGUAGGCUGCGCGCUAAGUCAGGUGUGAAAUCCCCCGGCUCAACCGGGGAACUGCACCUGAUACUGACGCGCUCGAGGACGGUAGGGGUGAGUGGAACUCCAGGUGGAGCGGUGAAAUGCGUAGAUAUCUGGAGGAACACCGGUGGCGAAAGCGGCUCACUGGACCGUCUCUGACGCUGAGGUGCGAAAGCUAGGGUAGCAAACGGGAUUAGAUACCCCGGUAGUCCUAGCCGUAAACGAUGGGCACUAGGCAAUGGAGUUACCUAUGGACCUCAUUGCCGGAGCUAAUGUAUUAAGUGCCCCGCCUGGGGAGUACGCUCGCAAGGGUGAAACUCAAAGGAAUUGACGA
rnacentral:rRNA from 1 species